rnacentral:lncRNA from 1 species
UUACAAGAGAUGGGAUACAUGAGUGUGUAGUGCUUUUAGUUUCAUUUCUCCCUCGUACAUGGGUGUGAUAGCUGAUCUCUAGGCACUGGACCACAUGUAGACACAGGAAGAGGUAUUUAGCAGUUAUAAAAAAGCCAGCAUUGCCUACACAGCUGUGCUUUUUUUCUUCUAAGGGAAAAGUACCUGGGCCAAAUGUUGUUGCACAUGAAAGUCAUCUUAUGAACCUCUGACAUUUUAUGAUCAUUAUGUGAAAAGCCUUUUGGGACUGGUACUGAACGGUUGAUUUUUAAUUAGUGAAAGACUAAUUAAAGACUAAGACUGAGCAAACAGAGCAGCAACUUUG